AUGUAUUUAGAGCUAAUCUUCAUUUAUACAUGUGUGACAUAUAUGCUUAUGCCACAAGAAGAAAGUAACCUCUAGCAUUUUUCAUGGCUCACACAGAAACCUCUGCAAACAUCUAAACCCAAGAUAUUCAGCAGAGAACCUCUCCAUCUCCUCACCACCUCUUUCCUUACAAACCUCCCUCUCCAUCUCUGCUAACACCUCAUUCCAAUCCCUUGCAAACCCACAACCAACACACCAAUCAUGGCCAGCACUUCCACAUAUCCCAUCCACAAUCUCCUGCAGCCCCACAAUCCUACGGCUGACCUUCCUCCGUGCCUCCCUCACUGUUGGAUUGAACCCAGGUACCGAGUCCAGCCUUAAAAGUAAACCCAUCAAGGCCUCAUUAAUUCUGAGUUUCUCUCGUUCAUUAGUCCUAAUGGCAUCCACUGUCUCUUGCCGUUGGAUUUGGCGUUGCAGUUGAUCAGCUUCGGAAUUGACUGAUGAUAUCUUUCUGUAGAGGGUGCGGAUUACACGGGCCCUGUAGGCAGAUUGGAUCUUGGUGGCGGCAUCUGGCUGAGGAAGAUGGUCGGUUAUGGGGAUAAUGGGAUCUUCGGAGGGAGAGUCAAUGGGAAUUUCCUUGGUUUCUUUAGGAGUGGUGUGGCCAUUAUGGAAAGCAUAGGUGACAGUGGUAGUGGAGGAAAAGAAUGAGAAAUUGCAAGAAGUUUUCAUAGCAGUUGAGAACAAGACUACAAGAAAAUGGCAAGACCUAUUGGAUUUUUGUAGCAAUCAGUAUCUGUUUGUUUGCUACUCUUUGAGAACUUGGAGAUCAAUCAAGAUUAGUAGAAACAUUAAUCCUUCCAACUAAAGAUUUACAUCAUAUAGAAGGAGCUGAUGAUCCUCUAUUUUUGCAGGUAAAUAGACCAUAUGAUAGGG
rnacentral:misc_RNA from 1 species